CAGCCGCCGCGGUAAUACGGAGGAUCCAAGCGUUAUCCGGAAUCAUUGGGUUUAAAGGGUCCGUAGGCGGCCUUAUAAGUCAGUGGUGAAAUCUCCCGGCUCAACCGGGAAAUGGCCAUUGAUACUGUAGGGCUUGAAUUAUUAGGAAGUAACUAGAAUAUGUAGUGUAGCGGUGAAAUGCUUAGAGAUUACAUGGAAUACCAAUUGCGAAGCCAGGUUACUACUAAUGGAUUGACGCUGAUGGACGAAAGCGUGGGUAGCGAACAGGAUUAGAUACCCUGGUAGUCCACGCCGUAAACGAUGGAUACUAGCUGUUGGGCGCCAGUUCAGUGGCUAAGCGAAAGUGAUACGUAUCCCACCUGGAGAGUACGUUCGCAAGAAUGAAACUCAAAGGAAUUGACGGGGGCCCGC
rnacentral:rRNA from 1 species